AUACUUACCUGGCACAGGAGAGACUUUGAUCAAGAAGGAAGUCCUCCCAAGGCGAGGCCUCGGCAUUGCACUUAGCUGUGGUUGACCCUUGCGAUUCCUCUAAUGUUGGAACUCGGGUGUAUAAUUUAUGAUAGCGGGGGACUGCGUUCGCGCUAACCCCCA
rnacentral:snRNA from 1 species